rnacentral:rRNA from 1 species
UACGUAGGGGGCAAGCGUUGUUCGGAAUUACUGGGCGUAAAGGGCGCGUAGGCGGUUCGACAAGUCGGGAGUGAAAGCCCGGGGCUCAACCCCGGGACUGCUUUCGAAACUGUCGAACUUGAGUGCAGAAGAGGCAACUGGAAUUCCCAGUGUAGCGGUGAAAUGCGUAGAUAUUGGGAAGAACACCUGAGGCGAAGGCGGGUUGCUGGGCUGACACUGACGCUGAGGCGCGAAAGCCAGGGGAGCGAACGGG